rnacentral:rRNA from 1 species
CUGUCUGCCCCUGCCCACCUGGGAGGCCCUGGUGAUUCAUGAUAACUUUACGGAUCGCAUAGCCUUGCGCUGGCGACGGUUCAUUCAAAUUUCUGCCCUAUCAACUUUCGAUGGUAAGGUAUUGGCUUACCAUGGUUUCAACGGGUAACGGGGAAUUAGGGUUCGAUUCCGGAGAGGGAGCCUGAGAAACGGCUACCACAUCCAAGGAAGGCAGCAGGCGCGCAAAUUACCCAAUCCCGACACGGGGAGGUAGUGACAAUAAAUACUGAUACAGGGCUCUUUUGGGUCUUGUAAUUGGAAUGAGUACAAUUUAAACCUCUUAACGAGGAACAAUUGGAGGGCAAGUCUGGUGCCAGCAGCCGCGGUAAUUCCAGCUCCAAUAGCGUAUAUUAAAGUUGUUGCAGUUAAAAAGCUCGUAGUUGAAACUUGGGCCUGGCUGGCGGGUCCGCCUCACCGCGUGCACACGUCCGGCCGGGCCUUCCUUCUGAAGAACCUCAUGCCCUUCACUGGGGCGUGCUGGGGAAAUCAGGACUUUUUAC